rnacentral:rRNA from 1 species
AUGGACUUGUACCCCACGUCAGGAGCCAAGGGAGGUGCUCAUGAGGGUGGGGGUGCCCCCUGGGCGCGCCCCCUGCCUCGUGGGACCCCCGUAGCUCCACCGACGUACUUCCUGCACCCAUAUAUACCUACGUACCCAAAAACUUCCAGAAAAGAACCUAGAUCGGGAGUUCCGCGGCCGCAAGCCACCAAAGCCACCAAAAACCAAUCGGGACCCUAUUCCGGCACCCUACCGGAGGGGGAUCCCAUCACCGGAGGCCAUCUUCAUCAUCUCGGCGCUAUCCAUGACGAGGAGGGAGUAGUUAACCCUCGGGGCUGA